rnacentral:rRNA from 1 species
UGAGCAAUCUGCCCUUCUCAUCGGAAUAGGCGUUGGAAACGACGUCUAAUGCCGAAUACGACCUCCUUUCGCAUGAUCGGAGGUGGAAAGCUCCGGCGGAGAAGGAUGAGCUCGCGGCCUAUCAGCUAGUUGGUGUGGGUAAUGGCCCACCAAGGCGACGACGGGUAGCCGGCCUGGAGGAGGGUGACCGGCCAUACGUGGGACUGAGACACCGGCCCAGACCUCCGUACGGGAGCAG